AUCGAACGCUGGCGGCAUGCCCUACACAUGCAAGUCGAACGGUAACGCGGGGCAACCUGGCGACGAGUGGCGAACGGGUGAGUAAUGCAUCGGAACGUGCCCAGUAGUGGGGGAUAGCCCGGCGAAAGCCGGAUUAAUACCGCAUACGACCUACGGGUGAAAGGGGGGGAUCGCAAGACCUCUCGCUAUUGGAGCGGCCGAUGUCAGAUUAGGUAGUUGGUGGGGUAAAGGCCUACCAAGCCGACGAUCUGUAGCUGGUCUGAGAGGACGACCAGCCACACUGGGACUGAGACACGGCCCAGACUCCUACGGGAGGCAGCAGUGGGGAAUUUUGGACAAUGGGCGCAAGCCUGAUCCAGCCAUGCCGCGUGCGGGAAGAAGGCCUUCGGGUUGUAAGCCGCUUUUGUCAGGGAAGAAACGGUUGUGGCUAAUAUCCAUGGCUAAUGACGGUACCUGAAGAAUAAGCACCGGCUAACUACGUGCCAGCAGCCGCAGUAACAC
rnacentral:rRNA from 1 species